AACGAACGCUGGCGGCGUGGUUUAGGCAUGCAAGUCGAGCGAGAAAGUCCUUCGGGACGGAGUACAGCGGCGAAAGGGUGAGUAAUAUAUAGGUAACCUACCUCUUGGACUCGGAUAAUUCCUGGAAACGGGUUGUAAUACGAGAUCGUCCUAUUGGGUCGCAUGGCCCGACUGGUAAAUGGUAGCUCUGCUUCUGCCGAGAGAGGGGCCUAUAUCCUAUUAGCUAGUUGGUGAGGUAAUGGCUCACCAAGGCUUUGAUGGGUAGCCGGACUGAGAGGUUGGCCGGUCACACUGGGACUGAGACACUGCCCAGACUCCUACGGGAGGCUGCAGUCGAGAAUCUUCCGCAAUGGGCGAAAGCCUGACGGGGCGACGCCGCGUGAACGAAGAAGGCCUGGU
rnacentral:rRNA from 1 species